UUACAGUAAUAGAGCUAUUUUGCAUUACUGGCCUAUAGAGGAAGGGCUAGGCUUUCAAAACUUGCUCUAGAGCAAAUGGGUACAGUUUUAAGGAAAGCAAAAAGAGCGACUGAGGCUCCUUAUUUCAGCCCAUGGUAUAGAUUCAGGUUCCAAAAGAAAUACCUGUCAGUGACAGAUGAGGAAUGAGAACCGAAAGACACACACAGAGGGUAAAAAGUACAGCAUUAUACACACCGCCUUGAAUGUGGAGAAAUGUGCAACACAGGAAGUUUAGCGUUUCAAUAGCUGUAAACUGAACACCACGCUUUAACUGUCAGAAUUUCCUCACCAAAUAUUAUCUUUUUUUAACAUAUGCCAGUCAAAUUUAAAGUCAUAUUUUUGCUGCUUUGUUAAAUCAUUGACUUGUCAUUGUAUUGCUUUUAUUACAAGCUUGUAAUUACAUUUCCUUCCUGCAAACACUGUGUGUUUUAACACAAGCAAAAGACUUAUACAUUUAGCAGUUGCUAUAUUCUAUAGGCCAUAUCUUCCAUAUAAUCCACUUUCACUAAUUAGUGAGAGGUUAGGUAAAGGUUUCACAUGUUCAUUUACACAUUAAUUAUAUUUCUGCUCGAGUUUCCUACAACAUAAAUCAGAAAUAAGUUGUUUUAAAGAUAUACCGCAAACUAGAGGUAAUCUUAUACAGUUUCACACGUACAAUUAGACAUGGACUGUAUUUCUCCUUGUGUGUUCUUCAACAGUCGAAUUACGUGACUUUUAUUUUGAAAUGUCGCAUGUGGGUUUCAUUUAUUCACCGGUAAAGCAGAUAGAUCACUUUUACACCUCUUCUUAUGUUGUUAAUAAUGUCGAGGUUUUUUGUUUUAUUUUCUUUCUGGAGUGUACAUUUUUUCAGUUAUUUUUUUUAACAAGCUGAUGUUUAUUGCCGAAUAAAAGCAACUUCACUGCGGUCUGCAACAAUGUAAAUAUCGCUGUGGACUGAUUAAAAGGACUUCUUUACAACGCUUGCUCUUUACACGCUGAAUCUGUGAGGGAAACGACCUGAUGAAGCGGUUGGAUGUCUGCCAUUAGCGUCCCCAUCACUGUCAAAUGAGUUAGUGAGUUAUUUUAGGAGUGAACUGGAACUUGAGAUUUACUGCAUCAGUGAAUAAAGGGGUAGCGCUUGCUUUAGACUUCCCUAUCACCUCCUAAAAGUGAGAGAAAAAGGUGCUAUCUUAAGUACAUUCCCUCAUGACACUGUUCCUGACAGUCCAGCAAAAAAAGACAGCAGAGUAAAGGCUGACAUGAUGGAGAACUUGCCGAUGAAUUGGUGGAAGAGUGGAGUAACAUCUCACAGCAAGAACUGACAAAUCUGGUGCAGUCCAUGAGGAUGAGAUGCACUGUAGUACUUAAAGCAGCUAGUGGACACCACAUACUGACUGUUACUUUUGAUAUUGACUAUUCGUCAAAUGUGUGUGAAACUUGUUCAGUUUAUGUCUCAGUUGUUGAUAUGGCCAGUGUAGAAAUUUCUGCCUUUUGUUUUUAACCACUGCUAUGUUGCUUUGGCCUUGUGUUUGGGAUCAUUGUACUACUGAUAAGUGAACUUUUCUCCCAAACUUUAGUUUUUUUAUAGCAGACUGAGGCAGGUUCUAUAGAGGUUCUAUAAUAUUCUCCUGUAUUUUGCUUCAUCCAUUUUCCUGUCAACUUUGGCAAUCAGCCCAGGUUCUAAGGAUGAAAAGCAUCCCCAGAGCACAAUGCUGCCACCUGUCACAUAUUUCCUCCCGCCGCUGAACGCUGCACAGCACGUGUAACAGCUCACAGCACUGCGACGCAUUCUCCCUAGCUAUCAUGUGUUUGUUUAUGUUGCCACGUGUGUUUUGUUUUGAUUCAUGUUUUGUCUCCUCCCAUGUCCUGUCAUUGGUUGUCUCCAGCGUGUUUCCUGAUUACUCCCACCUGCUUUCAGUUUGCACCUUGAUUAGUUUCUGUAUUUAAUGUCUCAUGUUUCAAUGUUCAGGACAAAGUAUUGUUCAGUGUUUACCUGCCUGUCUGUUCCGAGCCAUUCUGUUCUGUGUUGUUAUUCUCCAGUUCUCAAUCUCGUUCUGUUCUCUAGUUUUUGUAUUUUGGAUUAUCCCUACCAUUGCUGUUGCCUGAUCUCUGCCUGUGUACUGAUUCCAUAUUUUGAUUCACAUUUUGGAUUUGUCUGCCUGCCGUUCGAAUAAAAUACAGUACUUGCAUCCGUCUCAGCCUUCAUUCCAUGACAGAAUCUCCCUCCAGAAGAUGAUGAUGUGGCCUCCCCAAUAGAGCUCCCUCCAGAAGACAAUGACCUGGCUUUCACAGCCAUGUUCUCUCCAGAAGCCAACGAGGUGGCCUCUCCAGCAGAGUCCCCUCCCGUGGCCAAUAAGGUGGCCACCAUAGCCGCAAUCCCUCCAGAAGCCAACAAGGCAGCCUCCACUGCCAAGCUCCCUCCAGAGGCCGAUUAGGUGGCCUCCCCAACAUAGCUCCCUCCAGAGGCUGACAAGGUGGCCUCCACAGCCGAGCUCCCUCCAGUGGCCUCCCCAGCAGAGCUCUGCUUUUGCCUUAGGCCAACAGCACAGCCUCCCACAUCACACCAUACCUCCACCACCUGACCCUAGCGAGUUCACCAUUGCUCCCCCACCAGACUCUCCUUUCUGUUUCAUGUUGUUAUCUUCCACUUCUCAUUCUGUUCCCUAGUUUGUGUAUAUUGGAUUAUCCCUGCCAUUGCUGUUCACUAAUCGCCUGACCUCUGCCUAUGUACUGAUUCCAAAUUUUGACUCACGUUUUAGAUUUGUCUGCCUGCCAUUCGAAUGAAAUGCCUAAAUGCACUUGCAUCUGUCUCAGCCUUCAUUCCAUAAUACCACCACUAUAUUUCACUGUUAACUGCAGUAUGGCCUGCAUUAUGUUUGCAAUACACAUAGUGCUUUGAAACUUGCCCAAAAACAGUAUCAUGAUCUUGGUCUCAUCACACUGAAAAAACACAACUUCACUGAGUUCAUUCUUGUGCUUUCAUAUGGCUCUUCGUGACAACAGUUUCUUUCUAGCCACCCUCCCAUAUAGUCCUCAAUCAUGCAGAGCUCUUGUAAUGGUUGUCUGGAGAUCUUCACUACACUCUGUACUCUGUUAUUUUUCUGAGGGAUUGUUGACCUCAAUGUGGUUUCCCUCACCAGUCUCUUUCUUGUAUCUGCACUGAAUUUUUGAGGGAUGGCCUUGUCUAGGUAGUGCUUGGGUGGUGUGAUUCAGCUUACACCUCCUCACUAUUAAUCUAGCAAUGCUAACUCGGAUGUCCAACCUCUUAGAUAUAAUUUACACCCUAUUUCUAAGUUAUGAAAUUCUAUUACCUUAAAAUGUUCCUUAGUCUUCAUUUUCACUAUUUUUCUUCAGACCGACAUUCUCGUCAAUGACAGUAUAACUGAGGUGUUUUUCCUUUUUUUUUCUUUCUUUUUUUAUAAAAAAGGACCUAUUUUAAUAUUUCACAGGUAAAUGUCAAUUAUAAGGCAAGUGUGUCCACAUUAAGACAAUAUCUUUCAACUGGAGCUUCCAGAACCUGGGGGUUUGAAUAAAUAUGCAAGCAGCAUUUUUAAGGUUUUGAUCAAUUUUGAUCUUGAAAAUGCACUGUAAGGGAACAUGUUUGCAAUAAAAAAAUACUGACAGGAAUAAUGUAUGUUUAUCAUUUGUUAUUCAGAUAAAGCAGAUAAAUUCCAGGGGGUUGAAUACUUUUGAAAGCUGCUGUAUAUACACUCAAUGGCCAUCUUCUCAGCCACACAUAUAUGUACAGUAGGUAACCUUGUAGGUACAAUUGCUCACUUACUGUAAGAUUUACUCAGGGUAGCCCAUCUGUUGCUAUGUUUCUCAGCCCCCUCUACUCCAUUCAUUACUGGAAUUGGCCCACUACAGGACUACCACAGCAGAUAUUAAUGAAAUGGUGGAUCAUUUUCAGCUCACCAGUGACACUGUUCUGGUGGUUUGGGUGUCAGGCACAGAAGUGUUGCUUGGGUUUUAAACACCUCACCUCACCUGGGUUAAGAAACAGUUCUCAACUAAAAAUGUCCAACAAACACCUAAAAUUUACCACCACCAACUUUACCUCACAGGGGUGUGUAUGGCUAUAUAAACCCAUGGGAGC